UCUGUGCGUGUAAUCUGAAACAGGUCUGGUAUCUUUAGAGAUUAAUCCAACUCUAGCUUUAGACGUCACUCUCUAAUCCAUCAGAGUUAAAACAAGCUGCUCUCUGUAACCGGCUCUUGACCACAGCCAACUGCAAACUCCAUUUGUAAAAAACACCAUAUGUACAGCGAGAAUAGACUUGGGAAUACUACAAAUCGUAGACAAACCAGUCACUAUUCACAGUUUGGUUUGUUAAAAAACUCUGACUUGUCAACAUAAAAUAAUCCUUUUUAACCACACAGAUUUUAGUCUUAUGCUUAGAUUUACACUCUAAACGGCUGCUGCUUGAUGAAGUGGGCAGCCCAAGAGCGAGGUGAAAAAGACAUGGAGAGCAACAACGAAAGAGGGGAUGAAGAAGUGUGUGUGAGGCCAGGGAUGCCCUGCAGGAUAUUAUCAGAGGGCAUGCACAACAAAACAUCAUCGCACCUGACCCACAUGAACACAACCAUCUCCCCAAUGUGCAUCGUGUGCGUGGAACACAAAACCAGCCCAAUGCACCUGAUCCACACGAAUACAAGCCACAUGUGCACACCGUACACACCGCACAGGAACAUAAAUGUUGCAUCGCACACCUGAUGUUAAGUUCCUGACCCACACAAAUACGGUAUGCAUGGCGUACCAAACCACUCCGUCUGGCCUACACAUCUGGCCAUAAGCUAUUUGUUACAAAUUUCCCUGAAUAACAAUGGAGGAAAACAAAGCCUAUACCUAUCUGAAGUAAAUUCUUCUGCCGGCUCAGGUCCCAUGUCUGUGAUAUCCAGAGAAGCAGGUGGAGUUGAGAUAUUUUUUCCAUUUUUACUUUGUUUUGAAAAAAAAAUAUUUCAAUGAGAUUUAACUGCUUUAAAAAGUCAGUUUACUCAUUGUAAAUUGGCUUCACUACACAGUCACAUUUAGCUUACAGAAAAAGCACCAGGUGUCAAAUGAACAAACGUAAACAAAGCAUUUAAUUUUUUGUUUAGGAUGUAUGAAUGCCCCCAAUCCACAGAUGCAAACGUUUUGACUCAGAAGCCAAUAUUUUAACAGGAAACAAAAUUAAAUUUUAAAUAUUUUAUUAAUUAAUAAAAAAAAUAAAUUAAAAAAAACCAAGGAAAAUCUCAAGGUACGGACAAUGUGGACAUCUGCGGCUUAUCGACAAGAGCAGCCUGUAUGAGUCAUUUUUUGGGGGUCAAAGUUGGCUUAUAUUCAGAUGCGUUCAAUAGUCUGGAAAAAAGAUUGAAAAUUAAGAUCUGAAUAUUUAAAAACAUAAAUCAAUUCUCUAUAAACAUUUCUUAUAAUCAUCCUACAGUUGUUUUUCUGAACAAUCUUUUUCAACCACAGUUAAAUAUUCCUUCUUAAGUCUUUUUUAAAAUUUGACCCUUUUUCUUUUCCGUAGCCAUCUCCCCCUGACCAGUGUCUUCUGUUUUUCUUUGUCCUCUCUCCUCCAAUUACCUUCAACCACCUCACCUCGCUCCGACCAUCCCAUCGCCCUGCUGCCCCCGAGCUGUGUUGCGUGCUGCGGCGCGUUGUCAUGAGACUGUCCAUCUUCAGACCGCUGUGUGUUUUACACGACAUGGAUGCCUAACAGUGGCGGACGGCCAAUUGAAGGCGCAAGGGCGCCGCCCCAUCGCUCACUACUCACCACAUUACCUUGUAUAAGACAGAAAAAUAGAAUUGAUAAGAAUGGAAUAAUAAAAUGAAAACAUC